AUUGAACGCUGGCGACAUGCCUUACACAUGCAAGUCGAACGGCAGCACGGGAGCAAUCCUGGUGGCGAGUGGCGAACGGGUGAGUAAUAUAUCGGAACGUGCCCGAUCGUGGGGGAUAACGGAGCGAAAGCUUUGCUAAUACCGCAUACGAUCUACGGGAGAAAGCAGGGGACCUUCGGGCCUUGCGCUAUCAGAUGAGCCUAGGUCGGAUUAGCUAGUUGGUGGGGUAAUGGCCUACCAAGGCUUCGAUCGGUAGCUGGUCUGAGAGGAUGAUCAGCCACACUGGGACUGAGACACGGCCCAGACUCCUACGGGAGGCAGCAGCAAGGAAUCUUGGGCAAUGGGCGAAAGCCUGACCCAGCAACGCCGCGUGAGGGAUGAAGGCUUUCGGGUUGUAAACCUCUUUUCUCAGGGAAGAAUAA
rnacentral:rRNA from 1 species